rnacentral:rRNA from 1 species
CGUAUAUUAAAGUUGUUGCAGUUAAAAAGCUCGUAGUUGGAUUUGUGGCGUAUGGUGUGUUCCGGGCACUUGUUGUCUGAGUAACCUGCUGUUGCCAUCCUUGGGUGGAACCUGUGUGGCAUUAGGUUGUCGUGCAGGGGAUGCCCAUCAUUUACUGUGAAAAAAUUAGAGUGUUCAAAGCAGGCUUAUGCCGUUGAAUAUAUUAGCAUGGAAUAAUGAGAUAGGACAUUUUUACUAUUUUGUUGGUUUGCGUAAAGAGGUAAUGAUUAAUAGGGACAGUUGGGGG